GAUAAACGCUGGCGGCGCACAUAAGACAUGCAAGUUGAACGGACUUAAUCGAAAUAUUUCUAUUUUGAAGCGGUUAGUGGCGGACUGGUGAGUAACGCGUAAGGAACCUGCCUAUUAGAGGGGAAUAACAGUGAGAAAUCAUUGCUAAUACCGCAUAUGCCAUAGAUAUCACAUGAUAACAGUGGGAAAGGAGCAAUCCGCUAAUAGAUGGCCUUGCGUCUGAUUAGAUAGUUGGUGGGGUAACGGCCUACCAAGUCGACGAUCAGUAGCCGGACUGAGAGGUUGAACGGCCACAUUGGGACUGAGAUACGGCCCAGACUCCUACGGGAGGCAGCAGUCGGGAAUGUUGCGCAAUGGAGGAAACUCUGACGCAGUGACGCCGCGUAUAGGAAGAAGGUUUUCGGAUUGUAAACUAUUGUCGUUAGGGAAGAGAAAGGACAGUACCUAAGGAGGAAGCUCCGGCUAACUACGUG
rnacentral:rRNA from 1 species